AAUUGUGAAGAAGUACAAGACUAUCAUAUACCCUAGUGAGGGAGUCUUAUAGCUGGUAGUCUGCAACAAAUUUUUCAUGAGGUGCUACGUGGAAUGUAUAGAGGUCUUGCACCUACAAUGCUUGCAUUAUUGCCUAACUGGGCUGUUUUGCAAGAAUCCAUUGAAGCAGUGAAGUCAUAUUGGAGCAAUUGAGCAAUUUAUUGAUUUAUAGGCGUUUUUGUAGGUUUGGUAGCAAAAUUUUG